UUUUAAUUAUUUCGUGUUUUGUAAUUUCCCAUAAAAGUAUAUAGUAAACAAUACCAAAAAAAAAAAAAAAAAAANNNNNNNNNNAAAAAAAAAAAAAAAAAAAACAAUACGCAGGUAUACAGUAUUCCGUUGUUUUUUAUAUAAGCCCGUUUCCCAUCAAAAAUAAAUUGAAAAAAAGAAGAAUAACAGCAAAGAGCAAAGGACGUCUUCUUCUUCUCCUCUCUUCUCUCUUCCUUGAGCUUGCUUGCUCCUCGCUUUUGUCUUCCUUCAUCACUGUCCGUAUCAACAAUCAAACCCGAAACGUCUCUUCUGUCUGUUAAUUCAGAUUAAGUCUCAGUCUCUCCCUCUCGUCUCCUUGAUGAGCACUUUUCCUCAUUGACAAAUCCGAAAUCACGACAGACCCAUUUCAUUUCCAUCUUCUAUUUUGUAAUAAAAAAUUUCAUCUUUCGUGUUUUCUUAACAGAACCAACAUCCAAAGAAU
rnacentral:lncRNA from 1 species